rnacentral:piRNA from 1 species
UGAUGAUUUUGGAGCUGUGAGAUUGA